GAUGAACGCUGGCGGUAUGCUUAACACAUGCAAGUCGAACGGAGUACUUCGGUACUUAGUGGCGGACGGGUGAGUAACGCGUGAGAAUCUGCCUUCAGGUUCGGGACAACCACUGGAAACGGUGGCUAAUACCGAAUGUGCAGCAAUGUGAAAUAUUUAUAGCCUGGAGAUGAGCUCGCGUCUGAUUAGCUAGUAGGUGUGGUAAGAGCGCACCUAGGCGACGAUCAGUAGCUGGUCUGAGAGGAUGAUCAGCCACACUGGGACUGAGACACGGCCCAGACUCCUACGGGAGGCAGCAGUGGGGAAUUUUCCGCAAUGGGCGAAAGCCUGACGGAGCAAUACCGCGUGAGGGAGGAAGGCUCUUGGGUUGUAAACCUCUUUUCUCAGGGAAGAAAAAAAUGACAGUACCUGAGGAAUAAGCAUCGGCUAACUCCGUGCCAGCAGCCGCGGUAAUACGGAGGAUGCAAGCGUUAUCCGGAAUGAUUGGGCGUAAAGCGUCCGCAGGUGGCAAUGUAAGUCUGCUGUCAAAGCGUCUGGCUCAACCAGAUAAAGGCAGUGGAAACUACAUAGCUAGAGUAAGGUAGGGGUAGAGGGAAUUCCUGGUGUAGCGGUGAAAUGCGUAGAGAUCAGGAAGAACACCGGUGGCGAAAGCGCUCUGCUGGACCUUAACUGACACUGAGGGACGAAAGCUAGGGGAGCGAAUGGGAUUAGAUACCCCAGUAGUCCUAGCCGUAAACGAUGGAUACUAGGCGUUGCCCGUAUCGACCCGGGCAGUGUCGUAGCUAACGCGUUAAGUAUCCCGCCUGGGGAGUACGCAGGCAACUGUGAAACUCAAAGGAAUUGACGGGGGCCCGCACAAGCGGUGGAGUAUGUGGUUUAAUUCGAUGCAACGCGAAGAACCUUACCAGGRCUUGACAUGUCSSGAAUCCUYKYGAAAGSRRGGAGUGCCUUCGGGAGCSSGAACACAGGUGGUGCAUGGCUGUCGUCAGCU
rnacentral:rRNA from 1 species